UACCUUUAAACUCUCUUUAAUCCACCAAUCACAGAAAACUACGUGGCGAUUUUUAGGCCUUAUCUAAUCUAUCGGGCGUCUUUCUUUUCAAAUCAGUGGAGUGCUUUUUAAAGAACAGUUGGUUUUUUCCAGAACAAAAAAAAAGAAAAGUGGAGUGAUUUAAAACAUUUAUUCUUGCAAUUCUAAGCUCGAACAGCAAGAUUUUUUCGAGAAAAUUGUUUUCAAAUAGAACUAUAUUAUUUGGAUCUCCUUCAAGUUUUGAAAGUAAUAAUUCAGGACCAGUGCCCAAGCAACGUGGGCGGUUAGUCCAGAGUGGAUGCUGCGAGUCCGCAAAGGGUUGGUUCGAUCAAAUUCGAAGUUGGUCAAAGUGGCGUGGACUGGUCCGAGUCCCUCGAGCGAUCUACUGUGAUCUUCUGUAUCGCUUUCCAUCGUCGUAAAUCAUCGCCAGUAUCUGCGCACGUCGAUAAGUCGCCAGCGACGGCUGCACACUCCACGCAUCUAGGGGACGUCUAUACCCCGAAAAAGACGCCGGCGCGCGCAUCGCGAGACGACGCCAAAGUAGCGUUAGAGCUCGAGUCCAAAGCUUCGAGAACGACCAACCGAAUGCACGAUAUUUUGACAAUCGUACCUGAAUCCAAAUCUCCAUCCAGUUAAGUCACUGCGUGGGAUUCCCAAGCGAGGACGCAGAA